rnacentral:rRNA from 1 species
GAUGAACGCUGGCGGCGUGCCUAAUACAUGCAAGUCGAGCGAACGGACGAGAAGCUUGCUUCUCUGAUGUUAGCGGCGGACGGGUGAGUAACACGUGGAUAACCUACCUAUAAGACUGGGAUAACUUCGGGAAACCGGCGCUAAUACCGGAUGAUAUUUUGAACCGCAUGGUUCAAAAGUGAAAGACGGUCUUGCUGUCACUUAUCGAUGGAUCUGGGCUGCAUUAGCUAGUUGGUAAGGUAACGGCUUACCAAGGCAACGAUGCAUAGCCGACCUGAGAGGGUGAUCGGCCACACUGGAAGUGAGACACGGUCAUGGCGCCUACGGGAGGCAGCAGUAGGGUAUCUGCCGCAGUGGGCGAAAGCCUGACGGAGCAACGCCACGUGAGUGAUGAAGAUCUUCGGAUCGUAAAACUCUGUUAUGAGGGAAGAACAUAUGUGUAAGUAACUGUGCACAGCUUGACGGUACCUAAUCAGAAAGCCACGGCUAACUACGUG